rnacentral:rRNA from 1 species
AUUGAACGCUGGCGGCAUGCCUUACACAUGCAAGUCGAACGGUAGCAGGUCUUCGGAUGCUGACGAGUGGCGAACGGGUGAGUAAUACAUCGGGACGUGCCUAGGAGUGGGGGAUAACUACUCGAAAGAGUGGCUAAUACCGCAUGAGAUCUACGGAUGAAAGCAGGGGAUCGCAAGACCUUGUGCUACUGGAGCGGACGAUGGCAGAUUAGGUAGUUGGUGGGAUAAAAGCUUACCAAGCCGACGAUCUGUAGCUGGUCUGAGAGGACGAGCAGCGACACUGGGACUGAGACACGGCCCAGACUCCUACGGGAGGCAGCAGUGGGGAAUUUUGGACAAUGGGCGCAAGCCUGAUCCAGCAAUGCCGCGUGCAGGAUGAAGGCCUUCGGGUUGUAAACUGCUUUUGUACGGAACGAAAAGCCCCGGGUUAAUACCCUGGGGUCAUGACGGUACCGUAAGAAUAAGCACCGGCUAACUACGUGCCAGCCGCCGCCGUAA